UCAGCAGCCGCGGUAAUACGGAGGGUGCAAGCGUUAUCCGGAUUCACUGGGUUUAAAGGGUGCGUAGGUGGCUUUGUAAGUCAGUGGUGAAAUCUCGGAGCUUAACUCCGAAACUGCCAUUGAUACUGCUUAGCUUGAAUCAAGUAGAGGUGGAUGGAAUAUUACAUGUAGCGGUGAAAUGCUUAGAUAUGUAAUAGAACACCGAUUGCGAAGGCAGUUCACUAUGCUUGUAUUGACACUGAGGCACGAAAGCGUGGGGAUCAAACAGGAUUAGAUACCCUGGUAGUCCACGCCCUAAACGAUGUAAACUCGACAUUAGCGAUAUACAGUUAGUGUCCAAGCGAAAGCGUUAAGUUUACCACCUGGGAAGUACGACCGCAAGGUUGAAACUCAAAGGAAUUGACGGGGGCCCGCACAAGC
rnacentral:rRNA from 1 species